CCCGCUGAACUUAAGCAUAUCAAUAAGCGGAGGAAAAGAAACCAACAGGGAUUGCCUCAGUAACGGCGAGUGAAGCGGCAACAGCUCAAAUUUGAAAGCUGGCUCUUUUAGGGCCCGCGUUGUAAUUUGUAGAGGAUGCUUCGGGUGCGGCGCUGGUCUAAGUUCUUUGGAACAAGACGUCAUAGAGGGUGAGAAUCCCGUAUGUGACUGGCUGCCUGUGCCUGUGUGAAGCUCCUUCGACGAGUCGAGUUGUUUGGGAAUGCAGCUCAAAAUGGGUGGUGUACUUCAUCUAAAGCUAAAUAUUGGCCAGAGACCGAUAGCGCACAAGUAGAGUGAUCGAAAGAUGAAAAGCACUUUGGAAAGAGAGUUAAACAGUACGUGAAAUUGUUGAAAGGGAAGCGCUUGCAAUCAGACUUGCGCGGCGUCGAUCAACCUGGGUUCUCCCUGGUGCACUCGGCGCUGCUCAGGCCAGCAUCAGUUUCGGCGGUUGGAUAAAGGCCUAGGGAACGUGGGUUACUUCGGUGACUGUUAUAGCCCUAGGUGCAAUGCAGCCUGCUGGGACUGAGGACCGCGCUUCGGCUAGGAUGCUGGCGUAAUGGUUGUAAGCGGCCCGUCUUGAAACACGG
rnacentral:rRNA from 1 species